UGCAGUAUAGGUCUUUAGAGACCAUUCUUGGAAAUAAAUGGAACUGACAAACACCAAGCUGUGGUAUAAUUGCCCGUCCCCUCCUACCAAGGUGCUGUUACUGAGUCAGCUUGUGCCUGAUUCCUUGUGCCACAUUCCUUGUGCCUGAAAACUUUAAGCCCUCAUCUCUUGAGUUACUGGCUUCUCUUGCAACAAAUUUAUCUGAAUUUGCUCAGCAACAGGUGACAAACCCAGCCAGGAGCUAUGUUUUCCAUUUGCCCAGAGAACCUUCUGGAUUUCCUGGAACGGAGCCGUUGGCCAGGGUAGUGCGCCGGGAGUCACACAUUGGUUUCCCGAGUCAGCAGCUGGGAUGGAUCCGUCAGCAAUGGAAAAGAGGAGGUUAAAUAGUCCAUACAGGAGGCUGAGUAUACAGUACCAGAGCCAUUGGAAGAAACUAGGAGAAGGUGGAGUCACAGAUGCUAAGAAAAUAAUAUCAAGAAACUCGGGAGUGACCAACGGUAUCCAGUGCCACAAGAAAAUCAAGAUGAGAGAAAAUUAUCUUUUGAGGUGGAGAAGGCUUACAUUUUAAUUGAAGCACCGUGUUGUUACCCGACGCUCAGUAAGCCUGUGUCUGAGACACCGGUUUUGAAACAAAAGAAGCAGCCCUAGGAGCCUUGGUGGCUCAGUCAGUUAAGUGUCUGCCUUCCUCUGAGGUCAUGGUCUCAGGGUCCUGGGAUACUGUUAGGUCGGCGGGCUCUGGGAGUGCAGGAGGAACAAUAGAAAUGACCUCCGGUCCCGCCAUCUUCCAGCCUCCUCCCCUGCUUUCCUUCACCCUUGACUCUCCCGCCAAAAGGAUGUAUGCCCAGGUCACGCCUCCAUAGGUAACCCGAUACCUAUGCAGGAAACAGAUAAAAGACUCCCGCCAACUCCCUCCCAGUGCGACUUCCCCCACUCUGCUUUCCAGAGUCUGGGGAACCUCGCCUGAGGGUGCCCACCUCCUCCCAGAGCAACUUUCCUGGCUCCCCUUCUCCUGAGCCCUGAAACUUCAUGGGAGAGUGUCUUUAAUAAAUCUUGCCUUGCACCCACUUCGCCUGGUGUUGUGUUUAUCUCACCUGUAAAACCUUACAGAUAGAGCCCUGCAUCAGGCUCCCUGCUCGGUGGGGAGUCUGCUUCUCCCUCUCCCUCUGCUGCUCUCUCUCUCAGGUAAAUAAAUAAAAAAAUCUUAAAAAAAAAAAAAAGAAAAGAAAAAAGAAAGGCAGCCCAGGAAGAAGGCAGGGGAUUAUUCCCAAAGCUGCCUUGCUUACGUUGAGCCUAGGGACAGAUUAUAUAUGUUUGGGGAAGGAAAUGAGUUCGUGAGAGGAGGGUGCAGUGUUUCUUGAAACCUUCAGGGAGGGUGGCUUGAAACAGUUUGGAGGUGUGCAUUCUUUCAGACAAUGAGGAGCCAUUUGGGACCUGGUACGAUUAGGUAUGUCAGAUAAUUCAAGACAAAUGUUACUGUUUGGUCCCCUUUAGGUUUCUACAAUCAGUGGGUGAGCAGGAAGUUGCAGGAAGUUGGAGUGAAAAAAGCAAAGUUAAUGAUUAAUAAGAUGUGCAUAAAACUGUAAUUAAGUAGGGAAAAAACAGAACGUGGAGCGAAGUGAAUAAUGCAACUAAUACAACUAGAGUUGUACUCAUGCUUUGAAAACAGGUCUAGGAACCAAGCAUCUGGCCUCACCUCCUGCUUAUAUUCUUCUGCCUGGUCUAGUGGCUCUACCAGAAAUUUCUACGUGUUUACUUUGUGCCUUCAGAUACUCAAAGUUCAUGUGCAGCUGCAUAUUUAGAUCUAUUGAUUAACUUGGCAGUAUUUGGUAACGAGCAGGAUGACUGGGUUGAU